UACGGAGGGGGCAAGCGUUGUCCGGAAUCAUUGGGCGUAAAGAGCGUGUAGGCGGCUUCGUCAGUCCGUUGUGAAAGUCCAGGGCUCAACCCUGGAAUGCCGAUGGAUACUGCGGAGCUAGAGUACGGAAGAGGCGAGUGGAAUUCCUGGUGUAGCGGUGAAAUGCGCAGAUAUUGGGAAGAACACCAGUGGCGAAGGCGGUUCUCUGGGACGGUACUGACGCUGAGACGCGAAAGCGUGGGGAGCGAACAGG
rnacentral:rRNA from 1 species